UACAGAGGGUGCGAGCGUUGUCCGGAAUCACUGGGCGUAAAGGGCGCGUAGGUGGCGCAACAAGUCAGUGGUGAAAGCUCGACGCUCAACGUCGAGUCGGCCACUGAGACUGUUGGGCUUGAGCACUGUAGAGGCUAAUGGAAUUCCGGGUGUAGCGGUGGAAUGCGCAGAUAUCAGGAGGAACACCGGUGGCGAAGGCGGGUCUCUGGGCAGUAACUGACGCUGAGGAGCGAAAGCAUGGGGAGCGAACAGG
rnacentral:rRNA from 1 species